AUUAAUCAACCUUUACUACCAAAACAUUAAACGUCUAAGUUUCCAAAAUACUAUGCGCGCUUAUAAAAGCAUUGAAUAUGCUUUACUCUAAGGAAUCUGUAACAGCACCCUUGGAGGCAGUGCUAACGUUGCGAGCAUAUUUUAAAAGGGUUCCUUGUUGGUACUUCAAAGGAGGUGCCUUCCAAACACUGCGGCGUCUCGCCAUCUCCUUCUCAUCAACCAUCAAAUCUAAAGUGUUCUUUACAGCAUUGAUUUCAAUGACAUCGCCGUCCUGAACAAGAGCAAUAGGGCCUCCAACUUGUGCUUCGGGAUCAACGUGUCCAAUCAAAAAUCCGUGAGAGCCACCACUGAAACGACCGUCAGUCAAAAGUGCAACAUCCUUUCCAAGACCAGCUCCCAUAAUAGCACUUGAAGGCUUUAACAUUUCCGGCAUACCAGGUCCACCUUUUGGUCCCUCAAAACGAAUAAUGACGACAGUCUUCUCGCCCUUCUUGAACUCACCACGCUCUAAGGCAGCAAUAAAAUCGUUUUCGGCAUCAAAAACACGAGCUUUGCCGGUGAAGUUCAAGCCCUCUUUGCCAGUAAUCUUUGCGACAGAACCUUCAGGGGCUAAAGAACCACGGAGGACACGUAAAUGACCCUCGGUCUUGAUGGGGUUGCUCAAAGGUCUAAUGAUCUUUUGACCUUCGGCAAGGUCCUUGAAUCCUCGUAGGUUCUCAGCGAGAGUUUUACCAGUAACGGUAAUAUUAGAACCAUCGAUGAGACCUUCAGCAUGGAGAUAUUUAAGUACUGAAGGAAUACCUCCGAUAGCGAACAAAUCUUCCAUAACGUACUUCCCGCUAGGCUUCAUAUCGGCAAUAAACGGUGUACGGUUACUGACGGCUUGGAAAUCAUCCAAAGUUAAAGUGAUACCAACAGACUUAGCAAUUGCGAUCAAAUGAAGAACAGAGUUGGUAGAGCCACCAAGAGUCAUCGUCAAGACCAUAGCAUUUUCAAAAGCAGAACGUGUCAUGAUGUCGCGAGGUUUAAUGUCGUCAACCAAAAGUCGCUUUAUAGCACUACCUGCAGCUUCGCAUUCUGCAAACUUCUCAGGUGAGCCAGCAAGGUAAGAAGAAGAACCGGGUAAUGUCAUACCCAUAGCUUCGGCACAGCUAGCCAUUGUAUUUGCAGUAUACAUACCACCACAAGCACCACCUCCAGGACAUGCAUGACGAAUAAUGUCAUGACGGGUUGGCUCAUCAAUUUUUCCUGUGAUAAAUUCACCAUAGGAUUGAAAAGCAGAAACAAUAUCGAUGGGUGCAUUGUUCUGACAAGGAGAGUGACCAGCACGAAUACUACCGCCGUAAACCAUAAUACUAGGGCGGUUGAAUCUUCCCAUAGCGAUUAAACAACCAGGCAUGUUUUUGUCACAGCCAGGAAUAGAGACGUUGGCAUCAUACCAUUGACCUUGCAUGACGGUCUCAAUGGAGUCUGCAAUAAUCUCACGAGAUUGCAAACUAUAACGCAUACCAGUAGUACCCAUAGAAAUACCAUCACUAACACCAAUAGUAUUAAACUGGAAUCCGGUCAAUCCAGCCUUUUUGACACCUUCUUUCACUCGUCGACCGAGAUCAAGUAAAUGCAUAUUGCAAGGAUUUCCUUCAUACCAACAACUAGCAAUGCCGACUUGGGGUUUUUUCAUGUCCUCCUCAUUAAGUCCAGUAGCAUAUAACAUAGCUUGGGAAGCACCCUGAGACUUCGGACCAGUGAUUGUUUCACUAUACUUGUUCAAUUUCUUCUCGACUAAAUUGAUCGAAGAGGUUUUAAAGCCUUUUAGGCUUAAUGCAGCUCUUUUGCUAGCAAUACCGUUUUGACAACGGAGAAGCUUGCAGAACAUCAUCUUCUAAAAAAAAAAUUUCGCUUUGUUUAGACUAUAGAAAAUUUUCUACUAAGGGUCAACUCCAGGAUUUCUUCAAAUUCCCCUUUUAUAAAUAAUAAUAAACAAAGGAAAAUAUGAAAGAACAAACUUAUAACAAACUUGGUGUUAGAUUUAAAUGGAAUAUCUGCUGGUGACUUAACUUAUUCACCCUUGGUUAGUGGUCCUGGUAAAGUAUGCUAAACCGGAGAUGCGAAAUAUAAAACACGGUUUAUAUCUCGGUAAAUCAAACGAAUCAAGAGAAAGCCCAAUCAUUUCCUAAAUAAAUCAAUAUAAA